UUACAUAUAUGGAGAAAGCUUUAAGCUCCAGUGUUACAGAUGUGGAGAAAGCUCCAAGCUCUAUGGUUACAGAUAUGGAGAAAGUUUCAAGCUUUAGGCUUAUAGAUAUGGAGAAACACAACGAUCCUUUCUCUUUCAUCAUGGACGGUAGUCAAAUUUCACACUCCCAAGAAGAACUAUUGCGUCAUCAACCUUUCUUCGGACAAGUUAAUCAACCUUCUCAUCCUUCCACCACUAGCGGCGCCGACCUAAUUACCAUGAUGUCAAUGCUACAGACUCAACCCACUGAAAAAGACAGUCCUACCCCUAAAGACUAAGAUGUUUUUCUCACUUCACUUGAUAAAUUGUUUUCGCUUCCCAUCUCCGACAAUCCUGAUCUAUUUGGUAUGUGAUUUAUGUUGGAUUCAUUUAUUUCAGUAAUGAGUUAUGAUAAAGUUUAUUCAAUCCUAUAAAAUUCUUUGUUUGAUAAUUCUGAAAUAUUUUAAUUUGGUGUGCUAUUUAGCAACACUAAUGUGAUGGUAAAUUAUAAUAGUACAUACUUUGUCCACCAAACAUAAUGUAACAUAAAAUUAAUUUUAAUAAAACGGACCAAACCCCAUGUUAAUUAUAUUUAUUGGAUUGCAUAAUUUUUUGGAACAGACUAAUCCAAAUGGACCGGGAACACUCCAAUAGACACUGAACUCAAGUACAACAAACAAAAUUAAUUUAAUAUUUGUUCGAAACUCAAACUUAACAUUUAACUAGAUAUAUUAAAUGAUCCAAACAAAUCAAUCCAAAACUAAAGAUUAAAGAUUAAGCUCAUAUACUAAAUAAGCCAAAUUUAAACUAAGUGACACGUUAGAUAUAUGAAUUAGCUUGAUUAUAUAUAGGUUUAUAAAUUUGUGUAUAUAUAAUUUUUUUAUUGUAUGUGUAUUAAAUAAAAUAAUUAUUAUAUGAGUUGAUGAAUUGGACAAGUUAAGCUAAUGAGUUAAAUAAAUAUUUUUGCAAAUUCUUGAUGAAUGCAGCCAAUUUAAG
rnacentral:lncRNA from 1 species